CGCCAGCAAGCAUCAGAAGUGACCUGUUGUAUGUAAAGCAUCAUGCUAGAUGCUGAAGAAGCAAAGACAAAAUAUUCAGCCCCUGCCCUCCCGGAGCUUAAGUUGAUGCGGCAUAUAAACAGGCAUAGAGGACAGUCUGUACAAAGACAUAGAGACCUUUUCUCCUUCCAAAAAUCUUGAUCCUGUGGUUAGCCUAUUCAGCAUCACCUUCCCCACAGGCAUGCUGGAGGAGUCAGUCCCACAAACAUGCCUGGGUCCACCACAGAUUUGUUUUGUGAUUUCAGCUGGGUUCUCUUGGUUGCCCACCAGUCCAUUUCCUCUGAGUCUUCAGGGGAUAGUCAACUAUAGCUGUGCUGUUCCCGGCCCUGCAGCCCCAGAUGGUUUGACCCCCAGUAUGGGACCCUCUCCUCACUGGUGGUGAUGGAUACCCUGCCCAGCACCUGUGCAGGAGGCAGGCUGGAGCUGGCCAGUGCCACAGAGCUUCCAAUGACUUCCAGUGGUUGCCAAUCUUCUUUGAAUCUUGCAUUCGCCAAUUUUCUUCGGGUCCCUCCAGCUUCCAGCUUGAAGAGUGAAGAUGGAUGAGGCCAACCCCACUUCAGGAUGCAGAAAUGGAACAUGAUGAUGGAGACUGCCAGUUCCAGAAGUCCAAAAAGACUCAGCCUCUCGAAAGGUUCAGGG